AUUGGACGCUGGCGGCAUGCCUUACACAUGCAAGUCGAACGGUAACAGGUUAAGCUGACGAGUGGCGAACGGGUGAGUAAUACAUCGGAACGUGCCCAGACGUGGGGGAUAGCUCGGCGAAAGCCGGAUUAAUACCGCAUAAGCUCUGAGGAGGAAAGCGGGGGACCGUAAGGCCUCGCGCGUUUGGAGCGGCCGAUGGCAGAUUAGGUAGUUGGUGGGGUAAAGGCUUACCAAGCCUACGAUCUGUAGCUGGUCUGAGAGGACGACCAGCCAAACUGGGACGGGGACACGGCCCAGACUCCUACGGGAGGCAGCAGUGGGGAAUUUUGGACAAUGGGCGCAAGCCUGAUCCAGCAAUGCCGCGUGCAGGAUGAAGGCCUUCGGGUUGUAAACUGCUUUUGUACGGAACGAAAAGGCGCCUACUAAUACUGGGUGUUGAUGACGGUACCGUAAGAAUAAGCACCGGCUAACUCUGUGCCAGCCGCCGCGGUAAUAC
rnacentral:rRNA from 1 species